AAUAGAUACCCAGGUAGUCCACGCCGUAAACGAUGAGUGCUAAGUGUUAGAGGGUUUCCGCCCUUUAGUGCUGCAGCUAACGCAUUAAGCACUCCGCCUGGGGAGUACGGCCGCAAGGCUGAAACUCAAAGGAAUUGACGGGGGCCCGCACAAGCGGUGGAGCAUGUGGUUUAAUUCGAAGCAACGCGAAGAACCUUACCAGGUCUUGACAUCCUCUUGACCUCCCUAGAGAUAGGGGAUUUCCCUUCGGGGACAGGAGUGACAGGUGGUGCAUGGUUGUCGUCAGCUCGUGUCGUGAGAUGUUGGGUUAAGUCCCGCAACGAGCACAACCCUUGACCUUAGUUGCCAGCAUUCAGUUGGGCACUCUAAGGUGACUGCCGGUGACAAACCGGAGGAAGGUGGGAUGACGUCAAUCAUCAUGCCCCUUAUGACCUGGGCUACACACGUGCUACAAUGGAUGGUACAAAGGGCAGCAAGACCGCGAGGUUUAGCCAAUCCCAUAAAACCAUUCUCAGUUCGGAUUGUAGGCUGCUAACC
rnacentral:rRNA from 1 species